rnacentral:piRNA from 1 species
UUCAGCAUUUAUGUUUGAACAGUGUCAUGC